rnacentral:sRNA from 1 species
AUCUAGCCCCGAUUGAACGGCAUGUUUGAGCUCUUUUUAUUGAGAUGGGAGAAGGCUAGGCGUAAAAAAGCGAGUAGUGAAAGCGGGAAACAGC